CGUCAAAUCAGCACGGCCCUUAUGUCCAGGGCUACACACGUGUUACAAUGGCCGGUACAGAGGGCAGCUACUUAGUGAUAAGAUGCUAAUCCCAAAAGCCGGUCCCAGUUCGGAUUGGAGUCUGCAACCCGACUCCAUGAAGUUGGAUUCGCUAGUAAUCGCGCAUCAGCCAUGGCGCGGUGAAUACGUUCCCGGGCCUU
rnacentral:rRNA from 1 species